rnacentral:rRNA from 1 species
AUACGAAGGGCCCAAGCGUUGCGCGGAAUUACUGGGCUUAAAGGGUGCGUAGGCGGACCCGCAAGUGCUUUGUGAAAUCCCACGGCUCAACCGUGGAAUGGCUUGGCAUACUGCGGGUCUUGAGGUCGGUAGAGGUCGCCGGAACUCUAGGUGUAGCGGUGAAAUGCGUAGAUAUCUAGAGGAACGCCCAUGGCGAAGGCAGGCGGCUGGGCCGAUUCUGACGCUGAGGCACGAAAGCGUGGGUAGCGAACGGGAUUAGAAACCCCAGUAGUCC